rnacentral:lncRNA from 1 species
CUGGGGCAACCAGGUCUCUAGGUGACCUUGGCUUCCCCCGGGGGUUGCAUACACGAGAGUGCUGUCCAUCUCCCCACCUCCACAGCCCAGCAGCCUUCCCUGACUCCUGUCCCCAUCUCUGGGCUCAGUCUACCUUCAGUCCCCCCACAUCCCCCCCGUGAAAGAGGUCUGGACCGAGGGUGGCGCUCAGCAUCUGACUGUCUAGAGCACAGAGCUCCAAUGAACUUGCUCUUCCGUUCUCCAUUAGGAUGGGCCCGUGACCUCACCAUACUGCCCUGAACUCUCCAAACUGGGUCUUUACUGGUCAACAGAUGUGCUUCUUUAUCAAUUACCCCUUGUCUCACUCUAGUCCUCUCUGUACAGAUCAGAUUUACUGAGAUAUCCAAUCACAGAGUCGUCCCUCUUCCUGACAUCACCCAUUCCCGGAACCCAUUCUGGUGGGUGAAUGAACCUCCGCUUCUCUAGCUCUUUAUAAGCCAAGCAAAGUACAAAUCCUAUAACAGCUUCUAUCUAAUCCUCUCCUACUGAAAGUCCCCGUGGUUCCCUAUGGUGAGCCUCUGCCUCUCUCCAGUAAGUCAUAAACCCAGCUGGUUCAUACAGGUGAGUUCCUGGUGGUCUUUCCUGGAAUGCAUUGGCACUCUUACCCGGUAGUAUGGAAAAAUCUGGGCUGGGGAGUUCUGAGAAAGCAUUGAGAUAGUAUCUGCCCAUGUAAGUGGUUUGUGUUCGUCUGUUUCUCCGCAAUUCACCUUGCAUCCUUUUUGCAAACCCUGAGGCCAGAUUGCAUCUGUGCUGAGCAGAGCUUUGCUGAAGGCCUGUUAGAACCUUGACCUCUCUCAAAGGGGCAGACCCAGCUCAAGCAUUUCUGGACACUUGCCUUGUCAGCCAGUCUUGCUUUCCUAAUCGAGCCCCAGCUCUGCCACUGCUUCAGGGAGGCAGGUGUGACAUUGUGAAGGCCACUGUCAGGUGCAUCCUGGCACUCCGGUCUCAUUUUAAAUGAUGCAGUGACCACUGGGCCAAUUAAGUUCAGAAAUUUUACACUGUGAAUGCAUAAUAUCAAAGUGAUUUUAAAAUGUCUUAGGCUUUCUUGAAUUUGACUUUGAAAUUCACAAUUUCUGAUAUACAUAAGUAGUACCUAUUUUCGCCCAAGCUACAAGGCAGCUGAGAGGCAUGACCCACACCCUUGUCCUAUGCCUAAUGAAUUCAGUCAGGAAAGCUUGGUCCUCACAGUACCCAAUAUUCCUGUUAAAAGGAAUUAGUAGGGAGCUCCCAUUGCAGUGCAGAGGAAAUGAAUCUGACCAGUAUCUAUGAAGAUACAAGUUCCAUUCCUGGCCUCAUUCAGGUUCAAACCCACAACCUCAUGGUUCCCAGUCGGAUUCGUUAACCACUGAGCCAUGACAGGACUCCCUAAUUCUAUGAAUUCUAAUUCUAGUUUAAUUCUAUGAAUUCUAAUGAAUUCUAGUUAUUUAUAUCUUUGGCUAGUUUCCCAAAUAGUUUGAACUACUUUUCCGAGACAUAUUUUAAGAAAGUAGGAUUAAAUAAUUAGAAACACACAGGCACACAACAGAGGGGAAAUCAGAGCAGCAAGCGCCCCAGAGAGAGGCGCUCUGGGACUGUCUCCCAACCCUUCCCAGCUCUUCCAACCAGCUCAAUCCCACAUCGCCCUCCACCCACCUUCCCGACCUCCCACACCCCCAGACCAUUGUCCCUCUGCAGAACUCCUCUCCUAAACUCUGUUAGUCACCACGAGAAACUCCAGAGCCCCCAGGUCAUCCCUGGGGUCAUAUUCCGUAUCCUCCUGGGGAAUCUGUUCCCCUUUCUCAUCCUUCGCAAAACUCCCCUCUGGAAUCCAUCAGCAAAACCUCAUUCUCUUCUCCCAUCACCUUGUGCAAUAACUCCCCUGGGACCCUCUCAAGAGAGACUGCCUCCCUGAACCCAGUCCUCCCUGAACCCCAUCCUCCCUGCCUCCCUCUGCUGCUUUGAUACCAGGCCCCUUUCCGCUUCCCCAAACUCCCAGCUUCGAAUUUCACAUCAUGAAACUCAAUCACCUGCCAACCUUCAUUUCUGGAGCUCUGACCACUGGCACACAUUUCUGAACCUGA